GUUCGAAUCCUGCACGACCCACCAAUUUAACAUCAAACUCAGAUGUUGAACGUGAAGGAUAACGUUGCGUCAGCAACGGCCCGUAGGGCGAGGCGAAGCCGAGUCAUCCUGCACGACCCACCA
rnacentral:sRNA from 5 species